GCGGUAAUUCCAGCUCCAAUAGCGUAUAUUAAAGUUGUUGCAGUUAAAAAGCUCGUAGUUGAACCUUGGGUCUGGCUGGCCGGUCCGCCUCACCGCGAGUACUGGUCCGGCUGGACCUUUCCUUCUGGGGAACCUCAUGGCCUUCACUGGCUGUGGGGGGAACCAGGACUUUUACUGUGAAAAAAUUAGAGUGUUCAAAGCAGGCCUUUGCUCGAAUACAUUAGCAUGGAAUAAUAGAAUAGGACGUGCGGUUCUAUUUUGUUGGUUUCUAGGACCGCCGUAAUGAUUAAUAGGGAUAGUCGGGGGCGUCAGUAUUCAGCUGUCAGAGGUGAAAUUCUUGGAUUUGCUGAAGACUAACUACUGCGAAAGCAUUCGCCAAGGAUGUUUUCAUUAAUCAGGGAACGAAAGUUAGGGGAUCGAAGACGAUCAGAUACCGUCGUAGUCUUAACCAUAAACUAUGCCGACUAGGGAUCGGGCGGUGUUUCUAUGAUGACCCGCUCGGCACCUUACGAGAAAUCAAAGUUUUUGGGUUCUGGGGGGAGUAUGGUCGCAAGGCUGAAACUUAAAGAAAUUGACGGAAGGGCACCACAAGGCGUGGAGCCUGCGGCUUAAUUUGACUCAACACGGGGAAACUCACCAGGUCCAGACAAAAUAAGGAUUGACAGAUUGAGAGCUCUUUCUUGAUCUUUUGGAUGGUGGUGCAUGGCCGUUCUUAGUUGGUGGAGUGAUUUGUCUGCUUAAUUGCGAUAACGAACGAGACCUCGGCCCUUAAAUAGCCCGGUCCGCGUUUGCGGGCCGCUGGCUUCUUAGGGGGACUAUCGGCUCAAGCCGAUGGAAGUGCGCGGCAAUA
rnacentral:rRNA from 1 species